UACGUAGGGUGCAAGCGUUAAUCGGAAUUACUGGGCGUAAAGCGUGCGCAGGCGGUUUUGUAAGUUUGUCGUGAAAGCCCCGGGCUCAACCUGGGAAUUGCGAUGAAGACUGCAAGGCUUGAAUCUGGCAGAGGGGGGUAGAAUUCCACGUGUAGCAGUGAAAUGCGUAGAGAUGCGGAGGAACACCGAUGGCGAAGGCAGCCCCCUGGGCUGACACUGACGCUCAGGCACGAAAGCGUGGGGAGCAAACAGG
rnacentral:rRNA from 1 species